rnacentral:tRNA from 1 species
AUAGAGAUGGCUCAGUGGUUAUGAGCACUAGCUUCUCUGUUCUUCUAGAGAUCCUGGGUUCAAUUCCCAGAAACUACA